ensembl:misc_RNA 7SK 7SK RNA
GAAUGUGAGGGCGAUCUGGCUGUGACAUCCUGUCACCCCACUGAUCGCCAGGGUUGAUUCGGCUGAUCUGGCUGGCUAGGCGGGUGUCCUCUUCCUCCCUCACCGCUCCAUGUGCGUCCCUCCCGAAGCUGUGUGCUCGGUCGAAGAGGAGAGGACCGUUCUUCAGUCAAGGGUAUACGAGUAGCUGCGCUCCCCUGCUAGAACCUCCAAACAAACUCUCAAGUUCAUUCUGUUUAUAUUAUUAUAUUAUUAUAGUUGGUCUCCAGUUAUAAAUCAUAUUGAAGGAUCACUACUUGUUUUAAGUUUUUAUUU